UACGGGGGGAGCAAGCGUUGUUCGGAUUUACUGGGCGUAAAGGGCGCGUAGGCGGUCGUGACAAGUCACUUGUGAAAUCUCCGGGCUUAACUCGGAACGGUCAAGUGAUACUGUCGGACUAGAGUACAGAAGGGGCAACUGGAACUCUCGGUGUAGCGGUGAAAUGCGUAGAUAUCGAGAGGAACACCUGCGGCGAAGGCGGGUUGCUGGGCUGAUACUGACGCUGAGGCGCGAAAGCCAGGGGAGCGAACGGG
rnacentral:rRNA from 1 species